rnacentral:ncRNA from 1 species
GAACGCCGUAUGCGAUGAAAGUCGCCUGUACGGUGUGGGCUCGCUAUAACCCGAAGAAGAAAUACAGGGAUAAGGCGAGAAUAGCGGACCGACGAGUUAUUUGGC